UUGUGUUGCAAGUGCCGUAAAACUCUUACUAAAACAACAAUUUUUCUCCUCUGUUUGUUCCUGGCCAGGCGGUCCUGGAGGAGUUUGAGGACAAGCUGAGCCAGGCACACACACGGGGGCUGGACCAGGAGGGCGCGGUGGGGCGGGCCGCGGGCAAGUCUGUGUGUGAGCGGCCCGUCGGGAGAGCAGGGGGCAGGAAAACUCCAGCUCGUAAGAAACCAAACUCCUCUAACAAAGAGAAUGAUGGCGUGGACUGUGACGAAGAAAACGCUGGAGGUAGAAAGACACGAGCGGCGCGGGGAGGGACAGGCAAGGGGACGAAACCCAAAGGGAAACAACAAAAGUUCACACUGGACUCGGAUGAUGACAACGACGACGAUUUGUUUGAUGUUGGCAAUGACGGCUCCGACAAUGACCUUGACCCUGUCAUCACCCCGGCCAAGUCUCCGUCAAAGGGCAGAUCACGGCGAGGCAAGGUGGCGCUCACGCCUCUCCAGUCUCCGUGAAAUUGUCACACUCAUAUGUUGCCUCUCACAUGUUCACUCUUUUUUUUUUCUCUUUCUUUC